GACGAACGCUGGCGGCGUGCCUAACACAUGCAAGUCGAACGGAAAGGCCCUGCUUUUGUGGGGUGCUCGAGCGGCGAACGGGUGAGUAACACGUGAGUAACCUGCCCUUGACUUUGGGAUAACUUCAGGAAACUGGGGCUAAUACCGGAUAGGAGCUCCUGCUGCAUGGGGGGGGUUGGUAAGUUUCGGCGUUUGGGGAUGGAUUCGCGGCUUAUCAGCUUGUUGGUGGGGUAGUGGCUUACCAAGGCUUUGACGGGUAGCCGGCCUGGGAGUGUGACCGGCCACAUUGGGCCUGGGGUGCGGGCCGGACUGCAUCGGCAGGCAGAAGUGGGAGAUAUUGCACGAUGGGCCGAGGCCUGAUGCAGCAACGCCGCGUGCGGGAUGACGGCCUGCGGGUUGGAAACCGCUUUCGCCUGUGACGAAGCGUGAGUGACGGUAAUGGGUAAAGAAGCACCGGCUAACUACGUG
rnacentral:rRNA from 1 species